rnacentral:rRNA from 1 species
AUGAACGCUGACAGAAUGCUUAACACAUGCAAGUCAACUUGAAUUUGGGUUUUUUACCUUCGAUUUGGGUGGCGGACGGGUGAGUAACGCGUAAAGAACUUGCCUCACAGCUAGGGACAACAUUUGGAAACGAAUGCUAAUACCUGAUAUUAUGAUUAUAAGGCAUCUUAGAAUUAUGAAAGCUAUAUGCGCUGUGAGAGAGCUUUGCGUCCCAUUAGCUAGUUGGAGAGGUAACGGCUCACCAAGGCGAUGAUGGGUAGCCGGCCUGAGAGGGUGAACGGCCACAAGGGGACUGAGACACGGCCCUUACUCCUACGGGAGGCAGCAGUGGGGAAUAUGGGACAAUGGACCAAGAGUCUGAUCCAGCAAUUCUGUGUGCACGAUGACGUUUUUCGGAAUGUAAAGUGCUUUCAGUUGGGAAGAAAAAAAUGACGGUACCAACAGAAGAAGUGACGGCUAAAUACGUG